AGGCAGAGGCCUAACCCACUGAGCCACCCAGGCAGCCCUAUAUAUCUGGAAAAUUUUAAGAAUGAAAGCUAACACUUGAGUGCCUCAAUUUUGCCUGGAAACACUGAAAUUUGGGUGUUAAUAUUUGUGUAUUAUUGAUGAAGAAACAGAUGGUUACUCUGUGUCCCACCUACUAAAUGUUAAAGCAAUGAAUUGAAUAUAGGCUUUUUCAGUUAUAGCACACUGCCCCUUCUUAAAUCAUUAUUGCCUUAAAUUUACAAAGGUUUAAGUGGUGUAUGGUAAGUGGGUUGUAAAGGAGGAUCUUGAUCCAUAAAACUAUUCAAGUCUCUUGGCACCAUUAUCUUCAAAUGAGAGUAAAAGAUGUUGUAUUGUUUUUCCACCAGUAUAAUCAUUGGAUACUAGUGAUUCCACCAAAAAAAAAAUCUAUUUGGAACUGACAAAACUUUGAUAAACAUCUCUUUGAUUUUUUUUCUAUUUAUGGUUUACUCCGUCAGGGUUAUCCAUUAUAUGAAUAAUUAUGUUCAUUUUUCUACCACUUUUGCUUUUCACAUAUUGCUGCCCUUUGAACUUGAAAGAUGAUACCACUAUAGAUUCCUAAUUUAUCAAUGAGAAAUACAUAAUGACUAUUUUUACACAUUGUCUAUACUUGUUUGUUGUUAAAAUGUAUUCUUGAAAUUUGCAUGGAAACAAAUACCUUGUUCUGGAUUUACUCAUAACUUUUGAUUACAGGUAAACUGUCCCAGUAAGAUACUGAGCACAAAUGAUGUAGUGAUUAAUUUUCUUUUUUGUGUUCUCUUGUUUCCAUUCAAUAAAUAGGACCGUGGGUAUGUGUCAAUAACAUUUACAGGCACUGGGAACACAUUGAAGAGCAAGUGCUCUUGAGGCUUACAUUAAGUAAAUAGUUUUCUUUUGUAUUUUUUAAAAAGUUUCUAUGCAUUCCCAAGCAUGUAUGUUUAUGCUUUUUAAAAUAUGAAAUACAUAAAAGAAAAACCAAUGCUCAUUUACCCAAUACUCCUCCUUGCUACUCAGCUUAAGAAAUAGAAUGGUUCUAGAAACUUGGACAAGCUUGUGGGCCCUUUGUUGAUAGUAUUUUCUUCUUUGCCCUUGAGAAGUGACCACUACCAUGACCUCUAUAUUAAUAAUUCCUUGCUUUUCUGUAUGGUUUUGUGGGACACACCAUAUAUGCUUAACAUAUUUUUGACAUGUGUUUUAAUUGAAAUUAUGCUUAGUAAUCUAUUGCUUGCUUUUCCCAACACAGAUUCAUCCACGUUGGUAUAUUGGCAUCAGUGUAUUCAGCUGCAGUUGAUUCUUUUUCACUGCCUUGUGGUAUUCUGUUGUCUGAAUAUGCCAUAUUUAAUUCAGCCAAAUAUUGGCGAAACAUGUUUCCAUGUUCUCCUUUAUCUAGAGUUUUUGGAACCAGUCUGACAAUUGUGUUAUGAAUUGCUGGUAGAUGUGUGGAAAAAGGAUACAGGUAUCCUCAAAUACCCUCAAAUACCCUCAAGUAUCCCGAAGAGGUCACUUGGAAGCUAAAUACUUCUGGUUCUAGUACCACCACUAACAGGAGCAAUUGAAAACCCAAAUCAGAUUCACCUCCACAGUAAAAAGGUCAGAAGUAAAACAGUGAACUGUAAAGACCAUCAGUAAGAAAAGUAAUCAAUGCCAAGGUCAAACUAUCUGCUAGGAUGAAGUAUUUAUAAUUUUCAAUGAGGCUUUAAUUAGAUUCCUACGAAAUAGCCUGCUUUAAACUGUUGUUUGUGUUUUCCAUGCAUAAUUUACUCCCGUGUCUUUUAAGUUCCCUUAGAGAUCAAGCCAUCAUCUGGAAAAGUGUUAACUUUCUGGAGAGGUAGCACAAACACUGUAUUGCUUUGUUAAUUUUCCAUUCUCAUGUAUUUAAUAAACUGUUUGACUCUUAGAAUCUGCAAGAAAUAACAUUAAUCUGCAUCUCCUAUUUUGGUUCUGAAACUCUGGUUUUUGUGCUGGCUUCCAUUUAGUCUGAUAGGAUCGGGAGAACAAUGCCAGAUUGAUUCAUUUGUUUUUAAGUGUUGUGAGGACAAUUGAGGGGCAAGGAGAAGUUGCUCUUUUGAACUGGGAAACAGCAUGGGCACUUAGGCACAACUCCAGGUGUGUGUGUACAAUUGUGUCUGAUUGCUUAAAGGUAUAUAUCUAAGAUUCCAUGUUGAUCAUGUGCGAGAACCCAGCUGUUGGAGGAUGAGAGGCCAGCUUUCGCAGAGCAGCAUGGAGAAAAAAUUGGAUCACAGAAGACAGUCCUAUUUAAUCAGGUCUUGAAACCUGGCAGUUCUCCUAGGAGCAGAGAAUACUAUUGAAUUACAUUUAUUUGUGGCCAUUUUUUCUUGCCUUCUCUAUUGUCCUUUAAGCACAGUAGCCAUGAAAUAUGUUCAUCUUUGUACUCCCCAAACAGUAGGCAUGAUAAUAGAUACUGUAGAUAUUUACUCCUUCACCACCCAUUCAUUCAUCUUGGUACACAAGUAAUGCUUGGGAAGUGCUAAAGCAGCAGCCUAGUAGAUGGGACAUUGCUGUGAGUCUUCUCUGGUUGGUUUUCCUUACGGAGGAUGCAACUUUUUCACUUGGUUUUAAAGACAAAUGAUUUGUAUAGAGAGGAAGCACAUGUUUAGCUUUGUAUCUUUGUUCAGUUAGCUAAUCAGGCCAGAGCUGUUGGUCCAUUUGUCCAUAAGCCAGUUCGUGUUUCUCCAUUCUUAGCCACAGAUUGCACCUUGAACCUUUGCCAGCUGUUUCCUAAGUGCAUGCCAUUGGAUGUGAGGGAGACCUGAAAGAGUGCAGAUAUAUCAGCUUAAAAUCAUCACAGCUUUUAAAAACAAAACAAACAAAGCAUAAAGCAUGAAUCCCAUAAUGGUAGAUCAGAGGUUUUAUCUUGGUAUAGUCAAAGGUCAGUACAUUGCUGCCAUAUGUGCUGCUAUCAGAGUAAACACUACGUGAUAGGGACAAAACUUAAGAAGCUGUGACAAACAAGUAUUAGAACUUUUUAUAUCAAUUUUAUUUAAAAAAUUAAAUUUCUACUGACAAGUUAGUAUAACUAGUCCUAGAAAAUAUCAGGUAGAAUGUGGUCUCAUUGAUUCAGAAAUUGUCCAGAACGCUACACAACCAUUAUGCCUUGUUUUAAUAGAUGAUGUGAUUAGAAAACAUUCUUGGUUAUCUAGUAAGAACUCCCUUGCCAUGGGACUUGGGGCCUGUUCUUUGAAGAUUUGUAGGACUCAAAUGAAAUUUCACCAACUAUCAAUAAAAAUGCCUCUUUUUUGCUUCAUAUUUUCACUUUUACUUAACAGUCAUGCACAUUAUUUCAAGUGAGUUUCAAAAGGACUUUGUAAGUUGAGCAUUAUUCUUCAGGUUUACCAUUUGAUUAUCUGGUAAACUUUUCUUAUCUGACAUGAGUGACUGAGGGAACUUUGGAAAGAAUAAUUGACUCUAAAGUAAAAA